rnacentral:rRNA from 1 species
GACGAACGCUGGCGGCGUGCUUAACACAUGCAAGUCGAACGGUGAACUCCGCUUGCGGGGGGAUCAGUGGCGAACGGGUGAGUAACACGUGGGCAACCUGCCCUCAGCUCUGGGAUAACUCCAAGAAAUUGGGGCUAAUACCGGAUAUGACCGCUGACCGCAUGGUCUGGUGGUGGAAAGAUUUAUCGGCUGGGGAUGGGCCCGCGGCCUAUCAGCUUGUUGGUGGGGUAGUGGCCUACCAAGGCGACGACGGGUAGCCGGCCUAAGAGGGUGACCGGCCACACUGGGACUGAGACACGGCCCAGACUCCUACGGGAGGCAGCAGUGGGGAAUAUUGCGCAAUGGGCGAAAGCCUGACGCAGCGACGCCGCGUGGGGGAUGACGGCCUUCGGGUUGUAAACCUCUUUCAGCAGGGACGAAGCGAAAGUGACGGUACCUGCAGAAGAAGCACCGGCCAACUACGUG